UUACAAUUCAAAGUACCUACAUGAAACAUAAAUAUACAAAAUCUUUGUUCUUAAACAUGAAAAUAUAAGAUACGUUAAUAUUCCAACGUAUUCCAAUCAUCAUUAAAAAAAAAAAAAUAUCAAUCAUCUCAAAGCAAAUAAUGAACAGUGAUGAAAAAAGAAAAAGACUGCAAUGUCGUCUAUGAAUAUGGUUUAUCACAAGCGAUAUAUCCGAAACACGCGGGUCAGACUAGCUGGCGGUGUUUCACAGAGACAUCACAGGUUUAUAGAUCAGUCGGAGCCAAGUGGUGUCGGUGAUUCUCAAUCGGGGCGGUACUAACGCGGUCACAUCUCCGUGCCAAAAAGUUGGCGCGUACGCGCGUGGUGUUCGGUUGCAAAAAUAGAAGGGGUAAAAGCAUGGACAAGGGCGAAAGCUAGAGAGAAAGAGAAGAAGGAGACAAGGAGGAACAAGGGUAGAGAAAUAUAUAGAAGCCAAGAGGAAGAGAGAGAGAGAGAGAAAGAGAGAGAGGCGAGGAAAAAUGGGUCGGCGCCGGACUUUAAUCAAUGAUUUCGGCGCCAACUGGACGACGGAACGCGUUUCUGCAAAAAAAAAAAAUGCGCAGAUGGCCAACGAACAUGAUAUGUGUAUCAAGUGUUAUAUUCAGUGAUUCGCUGCAAACGCGAUAGCAAAAAAAAAAAAAAAAA